rnacentral:rRNA from 1 species
AAUGAACGCUGGCGGCGUGCCUAACACAUGCAAGUCGUACGAGAAAGGGGCUUCGGCCCUGAGUAGAGUGGCGCACGGGUGAGUAACGCGUGGGUAAUCUACCCUUGGAUUUGGGAUAACUUCGCGAAAGCGGAGCUAAUACCGGAUAGUCUGGCUUUAAUUAAGAAGUCGGUAAAGGAUGCCUCUGCAUAUGCAUUCGUCCGAGGAUGAGCCCGCGUCUCAUUAGCUAGUUGGUAGGGUAAUGGCCUACCAAGGCAACGAUGAGUAGCUGGUCUGAGAGGAUGAUCAGCCACACUGGAACUGAAACACGGUCCAGACUCCUACGGGAGGCAGCAGUGGGGAAUAUUGCGCAAUGGGCGAAAGCCUGACGCAGCAACGCCGUGUGAGGGAUGAAGGCUUUCGGGUCGUAAACCUCUGUCGGAAGGGAAGAACGGGCAUUGGUCUAAUAGGCCUUUGUCUUGACGGUACCUUUAGAGGAAGCACCGGCUAACUCCGUGCCGCAGCCGCGGUAAUAC